GACGAACGCUGGCGGCGUGCUUAACACAUGCAAGUCGAACGGAAAGGCUCCUUUGGGGGUACUCGAGUGGCGAACGGGUGAGUAACACGUGAGUAACCUGCCCUUGACUUCGGGAUAACUUCAGGAAACUGGGGCUAAUACCGGAUAGGAAUCCUUGCUGCAUGGUGGGGGUUGGAAAGCUUCGGCGGUGUUGGAUGGACUCGCGGCUUAUCAGCUUGUUGGUGGGGUAGUGGCUUACCAAGACUUUGACGGGUAGCCGGCCUGAGAGGGCGACCGGCCACAUUGGGACGGAGAUACGGCCGAGACUCCUACGGGAGGCAGCGGUGGGGAAGAUUGCACGAUGGGCGGAAGCCUGAUGCAGCAGCGCCGCGUGCGGGAUGACGGCCUUCGGGUUGUAAACCGCUUUCAGCAGGGGCGAAGCUUGUGGUGACGGUACCUGCAGAAGAAGCACCGGCUAACUACGUG
rnacentral:rRNA from 1 species